rnacentral:rRNA from 1 species
AUGAACGCUAGCGGGAGGCCUAACACAUGCAAGCCGAGCGGUAUGGGUAGCUUGCUACCCAGAGAGCGGCGUACGGGUGCGUAACACGUGUGCAACCUGCCCCUAUCCGGGGGAUAGCCCUCCGAAAGGAGGAUUAAUACCCCAUAAUAUAUCUGGUGGCAUCACUAGAUAUUGAAAACCCCGGUGGAUAGGGAUGGGCACGCGCAAGAUUAGAUAGUUGGCGGGGUAACGGCCCACCAAGUCGAUGAUCUUUAGGGGUCCUGAGAGGGAGAUCCCCCACACUGGUACUGAGACACGGACCAGACUCCUACGGGAGGCAGCAGUGAGGAAUAUUGGACAAUGGGUGGAAGCCUGAUCCAGCCAUCCCGCGUGAGGGACGACGGCCCUAUGGGUUGUAAACCUCUUUUGUACGGGGAUAAACCUAUCUACGUGUAGAUAGCUGAAGGUACCGUACGAAUAAGCACCGGCUAACUCCGUG